AAGUCGUAACAAGGUUUCCGUAGGUGAACCUGCGGAAGGAUCAUUCAUAAUAAAAGUGAAAUUUUAUGGCACUUUUAAAACAAUCCAUAUCCACCUUGUGUGCAAUGUUUUUUUUUCUAAAUAAACUCAUUUUUUUUAAAUAUGUUUUGUCUGGAAUAUCUUUUAUGAAUUACUUAAUUCUAAAAUAUAACUUUCAACAACGGAUCUCUUGGCUCUC
rnacentral:misc_RNA from 1 species